UGAAGCCGUCGGGGUUGUGAGUGGGAAACACAGAAUAUACUCCGUCCUGAGAGACGCCGGAGGCCAUGACAUCACUACAGUGUCUGGGUCUGAGAGCUGAGAGACCGACAGGCAGACAGGCAAACAGGGAGACAGACAGAGAGCCGAGCAGAGAAUCACUGAAUCCUGCCGCCAACUUCAGAACCGCUGAGUGAGCGUCAGACUGGAGCUGAAGAGAGUCACAGCGAAUCAGCUUCCACCCUCAUGUUAUGGGCGUGGCCUGACAACACCUUCAGCUCCUCCCCCAGUCUCUGAACCAAUCCCCUCUCCUGCCAGUCACCUGUGUUGUGAUUGGUCAGCGCUCGCAGCAGGGAGCUCUGUAGCUCCUCCCACCGCAGGAAGAUCUCACUGUGGUCCGGACAGUUGGGGUCCAGGAAGAUGCUGAUUGGUUCACCUGCUGUGACACGUGACACUGUCACCAGGGCGCCAGACUCUCUGGGAUUGGUUGAAAUCACAGUUCCUCCCUGAGUCUCUGUCUGGUUCGGUCCAGGACCCUGGUUCUGUUCUGGACUCUGGUUCGGUCCAGGACCAUGGUUCUGUUCAGGACCCUGGUAGGUUAGUGGGACCACCAGGGGGCAGAAGGUCUGAC